ensembl:lncRNA
UACUGUUAUUAAUGUGUGCCUGUGUCCAGGGUUACUGUUACUAACGUGUGCCUGUGUCCACGGUUACUGUUACUAACGUGUGCCUGUGUCCAGGUUUACUGUUACUAAUGUGUGCCUGUGUCUGUGUUUACUGUUACUAAUGUGUGCCUGUGUCCAGGGUUACUGUUACUAUUGUGUGUCUGUGUCCAGGGUUACUGUUACUAACGUGUGUCUGUGUCCAGGGUUACUGUUACUAAUGUGUGUAUGUGUUUACUGUUACUAAUGUGUGUCUGUGUCUGUGUUUACUGUUACUAAUGUGUGUCUGUGUUUACUGUUACUAAUGUGUGUCUGUGGUUACUGUUACUAACGUGUGUCUGUGUCCAGGGUUACUGUUACUAAUGUGUGCCUGUGGUUACUGUUACUAUUGUGUGCCUGUGUCCAGGGUUACUGUUACUAUUGUGAGUAUGAUCUCAAUAUAACUACUACUGACAUUAACAGGUUUUAAAGUUUCAAAUGACCUUGCCUUAGAGGCAAGUCACAGCCUACGCAUGAUUCCAGUGACAAGAGUAGCAGCAGCUAGCAUCUAGCAUCUAGCAGCAGACCUGAGCUCAGCCCCGAGGGCCCUAUGUUGCUCUCAUACAGGACCGUGAGUUACCUGAGAGUAGAAAUGACACGACCGUGAGUUACCUGAGAGUAGAAAUGACACGACUUGAGCAGAGUUGAAGGAUUUCUCAAACCCAUCUUUAUUCUGAGAGCCUGAUCACAUUUAAGUGCAAAUACCACCUUUGAGCACUGUCUGUCUGUCUGUCUGUCUGUCUGGUCAGUCUGUCCACACCACAAUCAGUUCCAUACGUCAGUGCAACUCCCAUCUCCAGCUGUCCAUGUCAGACCCCCCCGACCCAGA